GAUACCCUUGUUCACUGCGGGCCCCUGGUGCUUUCUGCUUCCAGAUGCCCCAGACUGGAUCUGGCUGGCACAGUCCAGCAUGCAAGAGCUCUUGGGAAUAGUUUUCUGAUGGACAGACUGGACAGACAGAUGGACCAACAGAUGGAAGUUUAUCAAGCUUGAGAGAGACCAUCAUGGAGGGCGUGGUCCUACGUCCCACGUAGGCAGGGACAGGUCAUUGACAAACCCAUUUCGAGCUUAUGUCCCUAACUGCUCAGAGGUAUAAGCUUCCCCGUGGGCGAGAUCAGGGGAAGCGCACCAUCCUCAGGAAUUUUGUGGGCACACAAUGACUUAUUUAAAAAUGCGUUGACCAGGACGCAGGGGUGGCUCAGACAGUUUGGCGUCCAACUCUGGAUCUCAUCUCGGGCCUCCAUCUCAAAGUCGUGAGUUUGAGCCUGUGUUGGGCUCCACGCUGGGCAUUGAGUCUACUUUAAAAAAUAAUAAUAAAUAAAAAUUAAAAAAUAAAUACAUACAAUAAAAUGCAGUAAAAUAAAAAUGCAUGGACCAUCGACGAUUUGCCCACAUCAGACCCCAUAGUGCAUGUUCCGUGCCCCUGGGCCCUCCAGCUCCCAGCUUCCUCUCCCUCCAUCCUGGGUCCUGGCAGUGCAGAGGCUGCCCUUCUUCCAUUCCGGAGUUCAGUAGCCACGAAGCCCAGGGUCAGUAGGAGAUGAUGGAAAGACUGAUCAGCUCGUGUCCGAGCCCACCUCCCCAGAGGGUCUGCAUUUCAGGUCAAGUACUACGUCCUUAGCGUUAGCGGCUGGCCCAUGGCCAGCACAGAAGCCACUCCUGUCCUUAAAACUUCUGAAGUUUCGUGGAGCAGGGAUACAGAUUUUUAAAAGUUGAACUGGCAUUCCUCUAGAGGGGGAAAACAACCAAAAAACAAAAAAAAAUCUUCCCUUUUCUUCAUGUGUGAGUAAAUAAACCAAACGAAAGAAAAGUCCCGAACUUUGCAUUAGUCACCCUAUUUAAGCUCUCGUUGUCUUGCGUAACAAAUGAAUAACUUUGUCACUUCCGUGAGCCGUAUUCAGCUCUCUUCUUAGGGGUUAAUUGGGACAGGUUGCCAGAGCUCCAGAGAACGUCCGAGAACACACGGGACCCUGUCGCCCACUCUGCUCAUGUAAUCCUGCCUCAGGAGUUGAGGAAAUUAGGGCUUUUGCUCGUGUCAGGCUAAAUGAGAGCACCGAUUAGUAUCUUGAGCAAUGCUAAUAAAAUGAGGCCAGUGAUUCCAUUUGCUGUCUCAUAUAUGAAAUGAUUCUGUUUACACGGGUCUAUUUUUACCAGGUCCUUUACCUUGGCGUGCAUAAAGUGAGUUUCUAGAUGGCAAACUUCCCCUAUUUGUUGUGGUUGAGAAAAUACAGAAUGAGGGACACGGCAAUAAAUGGAAGAAGUUUCUGGUUUAGGAAUCGAAAGAUGGGCGUUCGGAUCCUGACUUUUGCUAUUUACCUGCAGGCUCCGUAUCCGGAGUGGACACCCGGCCCGUUUGCUGGCAUGGCCCCCCAUGUCCCUGUCUUCAGGGAGCAACAGCUUUUUCCCACCCAGGCACCGGGCUUUCCCGGGGGCUGAUCCCACAGCCCUGCCCUCAGGAGCACAGGGGCCAGGCCAGGACAUUCAGAGUCAUGACGAGUAGCUCCAGACUGGACAUGCCAGGAUUGAUGACUCCAGCAGACAUUCUAGAGGCCAUGGAGCAUUUUGGGAAGUGCACUCAUUCUGGCUCACACUCAAAAUAUUCAAGGACCGAAAAGAGGCAGCAUGUUUUCAAAUCUUGCCAACCCUGCAUCAUGGGAGUGGUGGCCUUGCUGUCAUCGGGGGCCGUCCGAGUCGUCCAGCGGGGCUGGUGGAUGGACUGACUGCUCUCACUGGGGAGCGUUCGCUGAAGACGCCUUGCUGCUGGGCUCAUUUGGGAGGAUUUCAGUCCCACGCGAAGGGACCUUCAGCCACUCGCCCAGACCUGAGUCCCUAGACCCUCGGGCACUGUGAAAAGCAGUAGUUUUGGAACGAGAGGGACCCAGCCUUGAAGCAUGGGCCUCCUGCCCCCGGUGACUGGCCUCUGCAAGUCGUGCUGCCUUUCAGCUUCAGCUCACUCAUCGGGCACCUUCCUUGUAUGCAUUGGGCACGUAGGACUCCUGAUUGCAAGUGACAGAAGAGCCAGCCCGGAUCGUCCUCAGCACACGCCGAAGGCACUGACUCAUGUAGGCUGCAAAGCGCCGUGUAGGACUCGUUUCGGGCAGGGCUGUGAGUGAACUUCAGCAUGUUCAGGACUCAUUUCCACUUCAGUAGGCAGUUCGGUUUCUUUUUUCAUCUUUGACUGAGUGGGCUUCUGUCUUGAGUAGAGGGUUUUAGAAUGGUGGCCAUACCCCCUUCUCUGGUUCCCAGGGCAUCUUCAGCCGCCCCUCACUGGCCGUCAGCUUUCUGGCAGAUCAAGUGUAGCAGGAAAGGGUAAAGGCCAUUUCUACCAUGUUCGGGCCUCGCUUGACCU